rnacentral:rRNA from 1 species
CCUACGGGAGGCAGCAGUGGGGAAUAUUGGACAAUGGGCGCAAGCCUGAUCCAGCAAUACCGCGUGUGUGAAGAAGGCCUUCGGGUUGUAAAGCACUUUAAGCAGGGAAGAAAAAACUCAAACUAAUAUUUUGAGUCUUGACGGUACCUGAAGAAUAAGCACCGGCUAACUCUGUGCCAGCAGCCGCGGUAAUACAGAGGGUGCAAGCGUUAAUCGGAUUUACUGGGCGUAAAGCGUGUGUAGGUGGUUGGGAAAGUCAAUUGUGAAAUCCCCGGGCUUAACUCGGGAACUGCUUUUGAUACUGUCUGACUAGAAUUCGGUAGAGGGAGGCGGAACUCCAGGUGUAGCGGUGAAAUGCGUAGAUAUCUGGAAGAACACCAAUGGCGAAGGCAACCUCCUGGGCCUGAAUUGACACUGAGACGCGAAAGCGUGGGGAUCAAACAGGAUUAGAUACCCUGGUAGUCCACGCCGUAAACGAUGACAACUUGACGUCGGUUUGCUCUGCGAAUCGGUGUCGUAGCUAACGCGAUAAGUUGUCCGCCUGGGGAGUACGGCCGCAAGGUUGAAACUCAAAUGAAUUGACGGCUGGAGAGUGCGAGACGACGACGAGGGAGGAGG